rnacentral:rRNA from 1 species
UACGUAGGGUGCGAGCGUUGUCCGGAAUUAUUGGGCGUAAAGAGCUCGUAGGCGGUCUGUCGCGUCGAAUGUGAAAACCCGGGGCUCAACUCCGGGCUCGCAUUCGAUACGGGCAGGCUAGAGUUCGGUAGGGGAGUCUGGAAUUCCUGGUGUAGCGGUGAAAUGCGCAGAUAUCAGGAGGAACACCGGUGGCGAAGGCGAUCACCUGGGGUUGUUCUGACGCUGAGGAGCGAAAGCUAGGGGAGCAAACGGG